UCCACCGUCCCUACGCCAUCCUCCUUGGCGGACGGGAUGCCGGAUACCACCCCGACGCAGCCGGCCUCCACCAGCGAGAUAUCGGAUCUGCCCUUCCUGCUCUCGUCCGCCCCCCACCGUGGCUACUAUCCUCCUUGCCUCGGCGUGUGGUUGCUGGUCGGUAGGGAGAGGGAGAUGGAGAGAGGAUGAGGGAGGAAGCCCUCCUCAACAUCGGCCGCCUCGUGGAUCUACUUAGCAGUGCCUAACACAUUGCUCACCUUGCCAAGGAAAAAGAAGUAAGGCAAGCAAACUCUCAAGAGCAUGGUUUGUUGGUCGGCAUCAAGGACAUAUCAACUCGUGAAAACAAAUGGAGGCAAUUCUGAUUUCUGAAUGCCAACUCCAGUAUUUUUUGUGUGUUCUUUCUUUAAGUUACAAGGUCUGCGUAUUACAGUCCUUGACUGGUUUUCCAAUUGCCAGGUAUCUUGUCUGAACACUUGCAUUUGUUUUUGCAGCAUCUAUCUUUUUGGCAAAAAAUAACUGAAGUGUCCAUCCUUGCCUACUUGUAAAAAUCUGAUCCCUAACCGAGUCUAAUAUGCACCGGAAGGAAUAUACCUCUACAAGCUAAACAAAUUAAUUAAAGGACUACGCGACUAGUCCAAGGAUCGGAGUCCGCCACUCGGUCGGGGAGAUAUCGGAUCGAUAUGGACUAAUUCCUAGUCAAUCACGUCCCUUUUCCGACCGGCUAUGUAAACAACGGCCGGUCAGCUCAAGCAUAAAGAGAAGUCCAAGCUGAUCCUGAUGCAGUCAAGAAGCCCUGCGUGAAGAUAACAAAUACUAUUGGAUUGGGAUGUGAAGCUCGUGUACUGUACGUGUUGGUUCCAUCAUCAUGGUCUUGUAACUGAUGCAUUGUGUGCCUGGCAAUCUUGAAAGGAGUAGUACACAAAUUCUUCGGCGCCAAGCUACCAUUAUAGGCUACUUUGACACACAGCAUCCAAUCCCAGCAUCCUCUGCAUA